UGUUCAAUGUUUAAUGAAGUUUCGGUAAGUCAUCUAAACAUAAUUGUUAAGAACAACUGAAUUAAAGAAAUGUGAGAUGAAAGUUUAUAAAUGAACUUUUCAACAAUGAUUAUGUUUAAUAAGUGUGUGUACUUGAAAUUUUUUUUAAGUUUAUUAAUUUUUGAGAGAGAGAGAGAAAGCAUGAUUGGGGGAGGGGCAGAGAGAGAGAGAGAGAGAGAGAGAGACAGAAUCUGAAGCAGACUCCAGGCCCUGGAAGCUGUCAGCAGAGCCCGAUGGGGGGGCUCAAACACACAAAUAGUGAGAUCAUGACCUGAGCCAAAGUCAGACGCUCAACCAACUGAGCCACCCAAGCACCCCUAAAGUGUGUCCACUUUAAAAUAGUUUCCGAAAUAUUUUUGGUACCUUUAAAUCUUACAGUUCUACCAAGUAAAAGUGGAAUGAUUGGGGUGCCUGGGUGGCUCAGUCGGCUAAGCAUGGCUAAGCAUCCGACUUUGGCUCAGGUCAUGAUCUCACAGUUCAUGAGUUCAAGCCCCAUGUCAGGCUCUGUGCUGGCAGCUUGGAGCCUGGAGCCUGCUUGGGAUUCUGUGUCUCCCUCUCUCUCUGCUCCUCCCCUGCUCAUGCUCUGUUUCUCUCUCCUUCAAAAAUAAAUAAACAUUUAAAAAAAUUUUUAAGUGAAAUGGUGGGUAUUAAUUGAAUAUCUAGAUUAUUUACAAAUCAGUACCUGCUUUUGGCUUCCUAUUUAAAUGAAAGAAUUUUGGAGUCUGUUAGUAAACAUGUCUUGUGCCACGUUGAAAAUUGUGGAAAAUAGAUGCUUCUAGAAAUAAUGAAAUAGUAUAUUCAUGAAUUUGCCAAUCUAUAAGAUGUUGGUAUAUAACAGUUCAUAACUGCUUGCUUUUUAGUUUUCUCUAAGAAAGUAAGAUUUCUAAGAGAUAAGAAUUCCAACUAAUGUAUAUAAUUAAAACUACUAGUAAUAAUUCCCCAAACAGGGUAGAGCAAUUGUUUCCUCCCCUGCACCAUGUAUGUCCGGCCAUUACUCUGUCCAAUAAAAAGCAAAUCCAGACUCAGUAAGGAGAGACUUUAUUCAAAAGGAGACUUACAAGGGGGCAGGGAAAGAUAAUUGAAAUUGGUCAGGGGGACUGUUGCGAGAAGAGAACACCAUGAGUAUAAAGUCUUCAAGCAUCUCAAGAUUUAAGGAGGAAAUUUUUUUUUCUUUUGUAGAAAGGAAUAAACAAUGCUAGAAAGAACUGAGCUUUCUAGCACUGGGAAGGUGGGAUGAAAAGGCAAUGAAAGGGGAUAUUGGAUCAGAGGAAGUUUUACUCUAAAGGAGCUUAACCAAAGUUUGGUUAACAAGCAUUGUGCUUCAAUGGAGUAGCAGGGACAAGCAGUUCAGCUGAGCACUUCUGAGGCAAAGAACGAGGGUUUGGAGGGUCUGUGUCUGGCCUUACUACAGAUAAAUGAGGGGGACAUCUGUGAGUCUUAUCUAUGUCAUAUGGUGAGGGGUUGCUCCUUGCAGUAAGCAAUUUUCUGAAACAGAAAGGUAUAGGGAUUUCUUAACCUACAGUUAAUCAACAUUGCCAAUUCAUAGCAGCAGAUAACAUAAGAAACCUUUAAGAACCUGCAACUUGAGUGCCUGAAUGGGCCCUUUGGUUUCUUCAUUCUACAAAGGUCUAAUGAGGACCUGCUAUGUACUACUAUGUAUCUGCCGGGGAUACAGGGAACUAUAUCCCAUAAUGCUCCCUGCCUCUACAGUAUCAGUCAGGUCCGGCCUGAAAACAAAUAGCACACUCACUGUGAUCGGUAAAGGGACCAUGUUCAACAAUGUAGAGAGGGUCAGGGGAACCCACCAGGAAAGAUAUGGAUCCCCAGGGCUAGCCACAGCUCUCACAGGCCAGAGGAGGAAGCAAUUACAGGAACCCAGAAGGAUAGCCCUAGUUGUUAGCCAAAGGCUACAGAAAACCUCUGGCCUUUAGUGAAGUUCAAAAAAUAUAAACCACAGUCUUUAUGCAAAUAAAAUGAGCAUGCGCCAAAGAGUUUAUUCAGUUCAUUCAUUAAGGAAGGAAUUGGUGAGAUAGUAGGGCAGGUUCAAAUUCAGGAAACAUAACUUAUAUAGUCAGCCAAAGAAUAUCUGAAGUGAGUUUGCUAAUAUAUAUGAAACUGAUUAAUGCUUUCAUACAGAUGUCUGUAGCAGAUUGUUCAUAAUAACCAAAAAGUGGAAAUAAUCCAACGCCCAUCAAUUGAUGAAUGGACAGACAAAAUGUGCUACAUCCACACAGUGUAAAAUUCUCAGGACAAGUGACCCCAAUCAACAGGUUCACCACAUAGAAAUAAGUAGGUUUAUUAGUCACCUAGAGCUAUGUAAUGAAUUGCCACAAACUUAGUGGUUUAAAACAACACUCAUUUAUUAACUCAUGGUGUCCGUAGAGGGGGCAGUCCAGACAAGGCUCCAUGGGAUUCUGUGCUCAGCGUUUCACAAUGGAGGUGUUUACAAGCUGUGUUCUCACCUGGAGGCUGGACUAGAGAAGAAUCAUGUCCAAGUUCAUUUGUGUUGUUGGCACAAUUUAGUUCCUUGCAGUUGGAGGAUUGAGGUCUCCACUUUCUCACUUAUUAUUGGCCAGGAGUCACUCUCAGCUUGAAGAUGUGCGCAGGCUCUUGCCACAGGAUUCCCUCCAUCUUCAAAGCCAGCAAGGACAGGCUGACUCCUUCUCCAGUUGUGAAUCUCUGGCCUCUAACGUUCUCCACCUCUCACUUCUAGAUCCAGAGUUAGAGUUUGUGUAGGGGCGCCUGGGGUGGCUCAGUCAGUUAAGCAUCCAACUUUGGCUCAGGUCAUGAUCUCACUGUUUGUGGGUUCAAGCCCCACGUUGGGCUCUGUGCUGACAGCUUGAAUCCUGGAGCCUGCUUCAGAUUCUGUGUCUCCUUCUCUCUCUGCCCCUCCCCCACUCACACUCUUUCUUUCUCUCAAAAAUAAAUAAACAUUUAAAAUUUUUUAAAAAAAGAAGAGUUUGUAUAAAAAGCCCAGGCCCACCCGAAUAAUCUCUUUUGAUUAACUCAAAGUCAACUAAGCAAAACCUGCAAAAUCCCUUUUGCUGUAUAACAUAAUCAUGGAAGUGAUAUCCUGUCCUUUUCACAGGGAAGGAAGUUAUAUAAGGGCAGGGGUCAUUGGGGUUAGUCUUCAAUUCUGCCUACCAUAUACCAAUAUUGUUAAAAUACAUAUUAUUGGGCCUCACAUCUAGAAAUUCCAAUGCAGUCAGUCUCAGAUGGUCCUAAGGCUCAGUGUUAUUUAAAGCUUUUGAGGGGCGCCUGGGUGGCGCAGUCGGUUAAGCGUCGGACUUCAGCCAGGUCACGAUCUCGCGGUCCGUGAGUUGGAGCCCCGCGUCAGGCUCUGGGCUGAUGGCUCAGAGCCUGGAGCCUGUUUCCAAUUCUGUGUCUCCCUCUCUCUCUGCCCCUCCCCCGUUCAUGCUCUGUCUCUCUUUGUCCCAAAAAUAAAUAAACGUUGAAAAAAAAAAAUUAAAAAAAAAAAAAAAGCUUUUGAGAUGAUGCUGAGAAACAGCCCCCUUGCAGGUAUGUCUCACAAACCUGGAAUAGUUAUAACACGUGUUCAAUUUUCUCCAGAACAUCUGAAUCAGAGAUAGGACAGGUGAAAGAGAAAAAACAACAAAUGGACAGAAUAUGUUAGAGUUCUGGGGGUGCCUGGGUGGCUCAGUCGGUUAAGCAUCUAACUCUUGAUCUCUGGUCGGGUCUUGACCCCAAGGUCUUGAGUUCAUGCCCCGCGUUGGGCUCUGCACUGGGCGUGAAACCUACUUAAAAAAAGAGAAAGAGGGAAAUAAACUUACAGAGAAAUGCUGAAAAGGAAAAAAGAGAGAGUUCUAAAAAAACACUCAAAAAGAAGAAAAGCUGUUCAAAAUCACUUUCAGGCUUUCACAGUUUCUAGGUCAUUCCCAGAAAGUUCAUGCUACCAGAAAAAGAAAUAUAAAUGCGAAGGGGGGCAGAAUUAAAACAGUCCUGCGGUGGGAAUGCAAACUGGUGCAGCCACUCUGGAAAACAGUAUGGAGGUUCCUCAAAAAACUAAAAAUAGAACUACCCUAUGACCCACCAAUCGCACUACUAGGCAUUUAUCCAAGGGAUACGGGUGUGCUGUUUUGAAGGGACACAUGCACCCCAAUGUUUAUAGCAGCCCUAUCGACAAUAGCCAAAGUAUGGAAAGAGCCCAAAUGUCCAUCGACGGAUGAAUGGAUAAAGAAGAUGUGGUCUGUAUAUACAAUGGAGUAUUACUCGGCAAUCAAAAAGAAUGAACUCUUGCCAUUUGCAACUACAUGGAUGGAACUGGAGGGGAUUAUGCUAAGCGAAAUUAGUCAAAGAAAGACAAAUAUCAUACGACCUCACUCAUAUGAGGACUUUAAGACACAGAACAGGGGUGCCUGGGUGGCUAAGCCUCCGACUUCAGCUCAGGUCACAAUCUCGUAGUUCGUGGGUUCGAGCCCCGCGUCGGGCUCUGUGCUGACAGCUCAGAGCCUGGAGCCUGUUUCAGAUUCUGUGUCUCCCUCUCUCUCUGACCCACCCCGUUCAUGCUCUAUCUCUCUCUGUCUCAAAAAUAAAUAAACGUUAAAAAAAGUUUAAAAAAAAAAGACACAGAACAGAUGAACACAAGGGAAGGGAAGUAAAAAUAAUAUAAAAACAGGGAGGGGGACAAAACAGAAGAGACUCAUAAAUAUGGAGAACAAACUGAGGGUUACAGGAGGGGUUGUGGGAGGGGGGAUGGGCUAAAUGGGUCAGGGGCAUUAAGGAAUCUACUCCUAAAAUCAUUGUUGCACUAUAUGUUAACUAAUUUGGAUGUAAAUUUUAAAAAAUAAAAAAUAAAAUUAAAAAAAAACAGUCCUGCAGAUGAGUAAUGGAGAAUGGUCACACAACAAUGUGAAUGUACCUAAUGCCCUUGCACUGCACACUUUAACACGAUUAAGAUGUUAAAUAUUAGGUACAUUUUACAAGAUUAAAAAAAAAUUUUUUAGCGAGAUGUAUUGAAUUAUCAUGUGGUUGCAUAAAAAUGGUAACAUAUGGGUACCACGUUUUGUAACUGAUGUGCAAACACACGUAUGUGUUUUCAAGUUUCUGUUUCUAUUUUGAUUUUUAUAUUGCUAUUUAAAAAUAUAUAUAUGGUAAGAGCCUUGUAAAAUUAAAUGUGUACCAACACUGUAACUAAUCAGUUCACGUCUAGGUGUUUCCCUGAUAACGAUGAACAUGUGUUAACCGACAGGUGCCCAGUGCUGUUUGUAGCCGCAUUAUUCAUAAUAAGCAAAACCGGGAAACAACCCAAAUGUCCGUCAACUAGGGAACAGAUUUCUAAAGAACAAAAAUUCAAUGGAAUAAAUUUAACAAUCCAUCAGUUCGGGAGCAUCCCUUCCAGAAAAUGGCACUCUGGAGCGGUAUAAAACAAAGUUUUUCUGAGCGAGAGAGUGGAGCAAAGAAGUUAUUACAAAACAAAAGAAAAGACUGUUUCAGGGGCACCUUGGUGACUCAGUCCGUUAAGUGUCUAACUCUUGGUCUCUUGGUUUCUGCUCAGGUCACAAUCUCACGGUUGUGGGAUCCAGCCCUGCUUGAGACUCUCUCUCUCCCUCUGCCCUUCUUCCUUGUUUGUGGUCUCUUUCUGUAAAAAAAAAAAAAAAAAAGUUUCAGGCUAAGCCCCAUUCAUUCUACAGAAGAGGAAGAGGAAAUAGAAAGGAUCUUAGUUCAUGCAUUACCUCAUUAGCACUGAUCAGGACCUUUCAGGUUGACUGUUCAAAAAUCACGUUUUGGGGAGGUUGAGGCUGCCAUCAUGUCUAGGCUUGCCAUCGUGGGAGCAAAUGACUCCAUUCAGGGUCGUUGUUUCUUUUCCAACAGGAUAAGCAAACUGAGCUCCAUUUGUACAAUGAAAUGUUACUCAACAACGAAGAAGGAAUGAACUGCUGAUACACAGAACAUGGCUGAACUUCAGAAACCUUAUUUUGAGUGAAAGAUGCCAGACACCAACAAACACACUCUAUAUACUUCUACAUAUCAGACGUUCAGGAACAAUUUUAUGCAUCGUAAUGAGUGUCAGAACAAUGGUUACAACAACACAACAAUGGUUACAACCCUGUUGUGUCGACUUGGGAAGGACACAUAGGACAUUUCUGGAGUGAUGGAAAUGGUCCGAAUCUUGGAAGGAAUGUGGGUUACCGAGAUAAAAGCGUCGGUCAAUAUCAUUGCAAUGCUAUGCUUGUAAUUAUGUAAAUUCUAUGUCCAUUAAAAACCCUGUGAUUUGGGGGUGCCUGGGUGGCUCAGUCAGUUAAGA
rnacentral:lncRNA from 1 species